rnacentral:rRNA from 1 species
CCUCAAAUCAGAUAGGAUUACCCGCUGAACUUAAGCAUAUCAAUAAGCGGAGGAAAAGAAACUAACAAGGAUUCCCUUAGUAACUGCGAGUGAACAGGGAAGAGCUCAAAUUUAAAAUCUGGCAGUGUUUGGCUGUCCGAGUUGUAAAUUAGAGAAGUGUAUUAUGCUGAACCCUGUGCAAAAGCUUCUUGGAACAGAGCAUCAUAGAGGGUGAUAAUCCCGUCUUUGGUACAGGCUGUCUUGGCUAUUCCAUACACUUUCAAAGAGUCGAGUUGUUUGGGAAUGCAGCUCUAAAUGGGUGGUAAAUUCCAUCUAAAGCUAAAUAUUGGCGAGAGACCGAUAGCGCACAAGUACCGCGAGGGAAAGAUGAAAAGAACUUUGAAAAGAGAGUUAAACAGUACGUGAAAUUGUUGGAAGGGAAACGCUUGAAGUCAGUCAUGUCCUUAGAUAAUCAACCCAACUUUGGUUGGGUGUACUUUCUAUUGGACAGGUCAGCAUCAGUUUUGAUCAUUGGAGAAGGGGUCUAGAAAGGUAGCAUCCUUUGGGGUGUGUUAUAGUCUGGACUUAAAUACAGUGAUUGGGACUGAGGAACUCAGUGUGAUCAGGCUUCGGCUUGGUUUGGAGGUUUCGGCCUUACAUACGCGCUUUGGAUGCUGGCA